CGAUUUGAGGAUAAAACUUCCAUGGUUUCUCAGCCCACCUUCUAUACUCCCACGAUCUACAACCCCACGCUCAUCCCACUGGACUCCCACUUCCUUGUCUCUCAUCCUUAUGUUCAAGGGAAAUCAUUCCUUCUCUCUGUCAUUCAAACUAAAAUAUUUUUUUUCCCAUAAUUCAAUUUCAAUCUGAUUUCAUUUUGCAAUGGAGUUUGAAUCAGAAGUUCCAAGCGGUAUUAUCUCUCUUUAGAUCUCUAUUGUUCAAAUUUUCGCAUCAAACCUAGAUGCAGUAAACAACAAGUAUUUCGUUCAAAGGAUUGGGGUUUUCUGUUUUAAUCGAUUUAAUGCAAACCAAUUUGAUGGGGAAACUUGUGUCGAUUAAUUUCAAGCGGCUUGAUUUUUUUCUGAGAGUGGAAGAUCCAUUUAAGGUACACUAGUAUCUUCCUUGGCAUCUUAUUUUUUGCUGAUAACUAUUUUUAAGAUCAACUGGCUCACAUGGUGCUUUGUUAGUGAAGGCAAAGCUCAGAAUGACAAGUAGUCCAGUUUACACAUCAGAAUGGCUUCCAUGGUGCUUUGGUAGUGAAGGCAAAAAUCGGGUUCCUCUUCCUGAUCAGAAUGAUUUAUUUAACCUUGAUCAAAGCUUGUCUGGGUAUUUAAACACAAUUUUCUUAUCAUUCAGUUUUAUGUGGUUGAUUUGGAGGUAACUUUUUAUCUCCUCAGUGGAGAUAUUCAAUAUCUAUGUAGUUUCAGUAUUCCAUAUCGUGCUGACUUUUAAGUUUUCUGAUUUCUUGUCGAGGUGUUGCUAAGCUUAUAGUUAACAGUCCAUGUAAGGAUGAGUAUCCAAUUUUAAUAUAUAUAUCAUCUUUCUUCACAUGAUCGUUCAGUACUGAGUACUGUCUUUAUUGUAGCCGGUUCUGUUUUACUAAAUAUGAACCAUAUUAUAUCUAAUAUGGGAAGUUGUUUUUUUCUAUAGAUGCGGGAUAUAACCAAGUUUAAAGUUAUUAAUAGACUAUGGCUUUGUUGAUGAAGAUAAUUCUUAUGGUUACAUUUUAUUGAGGCAUCCUAAACACCAAAGAUCCUCAAUACCAUGAUAAGGUAUGGGAUGCUCAACCAAAUGAAAAACUGGUUAAUGGAUAUACGAGUCUUACGGGUUACCAAAAGAUGACACACAUCUUGACAUCUUUAACUGGUGAAAAAGUGCUUGUCAUUCCGGAGAGAGGGUGGGUAUGUCUACAAGUAUAUUAUGGAAAAUUAGGAAUCAUUGGUUACUUACAUUACUUAAAACAUUUUGCAGCUGUAUUUUGCGUUUGACUAUGUUAAUUUGUUAGAAAGGUGAGUCUUAAACUUCAACUGAUGCCCUUUCAUCUGUCAUUUGAAUUCACUUUGAAUGCACAAUAAGUUGUUGUAUUUUAACAAAAUAUUUAUACGGUUGGUUGUUGGUUGCGGGUGGUUCAAUAGGAAGCUAACUGUGACAUGCUACUUGAGUCCUAAUUGUUAUCUCACGAGAUGCUUCUCAAAAUAUUAUAUUUUUGAGGGAACAAGUUGUUUUUAUUUUGUCCAAAUCAAAAGAAUAUUCCGUAUUAUUCUUUUGAUCAUCUGUCACCAGUUUGGUUAAUACCUGUUUGGAUUUCCUUAUGAUGAUUGUAGUUCCAUUUAGGAUUCUUUGGUUCUUUUAUAUAGGACCACUUUGCGUGUGGAAGUGAAAGAUACUUGCAUAAACUUUGAGCUAGGAAGCGGAUACCACCACAUGUCAAGUUUGUACUGGAGAACCCGAAAGGGGUAUUCUACUGAGAGUUUUCCUUUAAGGGAGGCUUGGGACUGGAAAUACAUAACUUCAAAAGCAUUGGCACGCUCAUUAUGCUGACAUUAAAAAUCCUUUCAAGAAGAAACUGUCCCUGAAGUAAGCCUACCUGCUAAAUGCUAAACUGUCAGGUCCGUGAAGUAAUCAAACUUCGAAUGACACUUAAUUCCUUGGAAAGAAAAGUUUGUAUUUCUGAAGGCAAAUGGAGGUUUUGAGGAGUCCUUGCAGUGUGAGUGUGCACAACAAUCUUUAAUUAGUAAACAAGACCCUUAGACCCGGCCGAGACCUGAGUAGGCGCGCAAUGGAAGUGAAGUUGUCUUUCCGAAUGUCGAGACCUGUUUCGAUGGUGAUCGUUGUCAAUCUAAAAGAAUGUAUAUAUCAAGAAACAUGUGAACUAUUGUGAUUUUUCACCAUAUAACCAUAUUUAAUGCCAUGUUUGAUAAUUUUAUUCAGAUAUUGUUACUGA